UGUAGAAUAUUGCAUAUUCUAUGUUUCUAUUGAUUAUAUAUGGAUGUGUGGAUUGACAUAAGUAACAGAUGGUAUAAGUCACAAGGCUUUCUUUGUCCGAGAGCUCUGGAAUGUGGAUGUGGGGGUUUUGUCCUUAUAUGGCUAGAGUUAAAUGCUGACGUUAGUAUUAGCACAUCUUUAUAGUAACAGAGGGACACGAGGU